rnacentral:snRNA from 1 species
CUGCAUUGUCUGUAGGGCAGAAUCACAUUGUAGAAUAAAUCUUUCGCCUUUUACUAAAGAUUUCCACUGAUCUUCAGGGAUAUUAUAUGGCAGAAGCUAAUCUUAGAAGACAUGGCAAGAGCUGGAAU